AUGGCGGGAGGACUGGCGGUGCACCUGUGGAAAGAAUGGGGGAUCCAAAUAUUGGUCCUUGCUAGCUUCAUGCUGCAAGUGGUUCUCCUCAUCUUCGCAGGGAUCCGUCGGCGCAAGGCCUCUGCUGCGCUGAGGAUCUUCCUCUGGCUGGCGUACCUGAUGGCGGACAACAUCGCGGUGUAUGCCCUUGGCCACAUGUCCCUCAACAGCAGGCCUUACGAGGACCGGCUAAUCGCGUUCUGGGCGCCGUUUUUCCUGCUGCACCUGGGUGGCCAGGACACCAUCACAGCCUACUCUUUAGAGGACAACCAGCUCUGGAAGCGUCACCUGCUGACUCUGCUAGUGCAGGUUUCAGGAGCCAGCUAUAUCCUCUAUGUUUAUAUUGGCAAUGCGCCGAGCCUGGUGUCAGCGACCAUACUGAUGUUCGUCGUGGGCGUCAUCAAGUAUGCCGAGAGGGUGUUGGCACUCAGGCUCGCCAACAUUGAAAAUCUAGGCACCACUCUGGACAUACGGGAGGGCGAGUAUGGCAGACUGGAUAGAAAAGGCGAUAUGGAUGCAGAGCAAGAGGUUCUGCUGGGAGCUCAUUACCUGUUCAGCUUUUGCAGGAGUGAAUUUCUCGAUCGUGUGCCGACGCUUGGGGCAUACAGUGCCGCUACAGCAAUUAAGAAAAGCAAGCACUUCAAUGGAGGCAUGUACAUGUAUGGGCUGGUGGAGGUGGAGCUCUCUCUUCUGUAUGACUUGCUUUACACCAAGGCACCGAUGAUCCACACUUGGCAUGGCUGCUGCAUCCGUGUUGUCUCUUCGGUUGCCACUGUGGCGGCAUUCUUGCUGUUCCAGCUUGGCGGUAGAGGUGCUUACAACGGGGUUGACAUUGCCAUCACCUAUGUUCUGUUGGUUGGUGCCAUCAUUCUGGAGAUCACUUCUGUACUGAGGGCACUAGGGUCAACAUGGACAUGCGCAUUCUUGCAUGCUCGGAAAUGGGAUCGGUGUUAUGGUGCGGUGAUGUGCCUUCGUCGGUCCGUCAAGGCGGCAAGCAACAGAAGGUGGUUGCAAUCUAUCGGGCAACAUAAUGUGCUGGAUUUCUGCGUCCGUGACAAGACCAAGCUCAGAGACAGAAUUGCCAGGGCAACGGGACUGGGGACCUGGUGGAAGAAACUGCAUUACUCAAGCACCAUUCCUGUUACGCCUGAGUUGAAGGAGUUGCUGAUGACACAGAUGUUGAAGACAAUGCAUGAUUGGAGAAAAUGGAACAUCAGAUAUGUGCGUGGCCAAGCAGCGCUUACCGACUGCGGGAUCUUUGAUGAUAUCGGCCCGACUGUGGAAAAGGAUUUUGAUGAGUGCGUCCUUGUCUGGCACAUUGCGACGGAUAUUUACCUUCACUGCUGCCCGCAAAUUGAAGAGGGACACCCCCUUGUGAAGGCAAUCAAGGUACUGUCCAACUACAUGGGGUUCCUCCUGGUUGUACGCCCCAACUUACUGCCAGGAGGGGUACGCCGCAGCCUUUUCCGUCAGAAUUGCCCUGAUUUGGAGAAAAUGAUGGCUCAACUCUGUGCUGGAGAGUCCAGUGAAGAUGAGGAUGACGGGAGCUGGGAAACGGUUGAACGGUUGGAAGAUGGUACUGGUAGUGGCCAGUCUAUUGGGGAGAAGGAUGAUGGUGCACGGGAAAUUACUGCAGAAGGCGAGGAUGGGAACCACCCUAUGGUCCCAUCCAGCAAGAACCUCGCCAAGCAUGUGCUUCACAAGCACAACAGUGAGCAUAUCGGCGGUGCUUACACCAGGGCUGGUCAUCUUGCCACUAAGCUACUUGACAACAAGUGGAACCUGCCAAACGUGCUGGAGGUCAUCUUCGCGGUGUGGGUUGAGUUCUUGUGCUACGCAGCCCACCAUUGCACUGAUGUUUCCCAUUGCAGGCAGCUCGGCGAUGGUGGUGACUUCCUCACCAUUAUCCGCAUCCUUGUAGAUCACAUCGAGUUGUUUGGAAUCCACCGGCCGGAUACCAACAACGGUGCGUAG
rnacentral:rRNA from 1 species